rnacentral:rRNA from 1 species
ACUCCUGCGGGAGGCAACAGUGGGGAAUAUUGGACAAUGGGCGCAAGCCUGAUCCAGCCAUGCCGCGUGAGUGAUGAAGGCCCUAGGGUUGUAAAGCUCUUUCACCGGUGAAGAUAAUGACGGUAACCGGAGAAGAAGCCCCGGCUAACUUCGUGCCAGCAGCCGCGGUAAUACGAAGGGGGCUAGCGUUGUUCGGAUUUACUGGGCGUAAAGCGCACGUAGGCGGACUAUUAAGUCAGGGGUGAAAUCCCGGGGCUCAACCCCGGAACUGCCUUUGAUACUGGUAGUCUUGAGUUCGAGAGAGGUGAGUGGAAUUCCGAGUGUAGAGGUGAAAUUCGUAGAUAUUCGGAGGAACACCAGUGGCGAAGGCGGCUCACUGGCUCGAUACUGACGCUGAGGUGCGAAAGCGUGGGGAGCAAACAGGAUUAGAUACCCCUGUAGUCCCAUGA